rnacentral:rRNA from 1 species
UCGAGUGGGUUUAGACCCACGGCAAACGGGUGAGUAAUACCCAGGAACGUACCCUUAGUUGAGCAUAAUCCACCGAAAGGUGGGAUAAUUCUCAAUGUGAUCGCAAGAUUAAAGUCGCAAGACGCUAAGGAAGCGGCCUGGGCACCAUCAGCUAGUUGGUAAGGUAAUGGCUUACCAAGGCUUUGACGGUUAGGGGCCCCGAGAGGGGAAACCUCCACACUGGAACUGAGACACGGUCCAG